rnacentral:rRNA from 1 species
UACGUAGGGUGCGAGCGUUAAUCGGAAUUACUGGGCGUAAAGAGUGCGCAGGUGGCCGCGCAAGUCGAGUGUGAAAUCCCCGAGCUUAACUUGGGAAUUGCGCUCGAAACUACGUGGCUCGAGUGUGGCAGAGGAAGGUGGAAUUCCACGUGUAGCGGUGAAAUGCGUAGAGAUGUGGAGGAACACCGAUGGCGAAGGCAGCCUUCUGGGCCAACACUGACGCUCAUGCACGAAAGCGUGGGGAGCAAACAGG